rnacentral:rRNA from 1 species
AACCAGGACGUGGAUAUUGAGUGGUAACACAAGCGAAGCUGGGGACGGCGGCGGGAGCCCCGACAAGAGUUUUCUGUUCUUGUUAACAAGUGCACCGACCCUGGAAUCGGAUUGACCGGAGAUAGGGUUGGAGGCUUGGGAAAGGCGGUUAGUUUUGGACCGUUUCGGUGCGCUCUCGACGUUCCGUGAAAACCCAGCGGCGUGACUUAUUCGCACCCCUGGUCGUACUCAUCACCGCAUCAGGUCUCCAAGGUUAGCAGCCUCUAGUCGAUAGAAGAAUGUAGAUAAGGGAAGUCGGCAAACUAGAUCCGUAACCUCGGGAAAAGGAUUGGCUCUGAGGGUUGGGCCUAGGGGUCUCUUGGUUAAUAUUGCGGCUGCUAGACGGGGCUGCGGCUCACGCUGCGGACCUGUCGGGCGGCUCUUUGGCGGCCUCGAGGAUGUCUUCGGACGUUCCCUAGUGCGAUGAACAACCAGCUCAGAACUGGAGCGGACAAGGGGAAUCCGACUGUUUAAUUAAAACCAAGC